UUUGAAGAGAACCUUAAGAGAGCUUAAGAGAGAAAACUUGGAGAUCAAAGAGGGGAUCCUUUGGGGUGUGUUCCUUUGAUGAGAGUGUUUCUUAGGUUGGGAAAAACAUUGUAAUCACCUUGGGAUUUUGGGUUCAUAGUGUGAGAGUGGGAAAAUACCAAAGGGUAGAUCUAGGGUUUGUUCAUGUGUAAAGCUUGAAAGCUAGAUUCUUGUAACCUUUUGUAACACUUCACAUAUUGGAUUGGAGAGCUGCUCUCUCCCCCAGAUUAGGCCACAUUGGCUGAACUGGGUCAACAAUCUUGCUCGGUGUUUUGUUCUUUCCUUU
rnacentral:lncRNA from 1 species